rnacentral:tRNA from 1 species
CCCUGAGUGGUGGAAUUGGUAUACACACCUGGUUUAAGCCCAGACGCUCAUAGAGUAUGUCGGUUCGAUCCCGACCUCAGGGACCA